CGAAAUAGCAGCAAAAUUCUUGUGGAUAACAGGUAAUGGGCAUUAUACAACAAUUCCGAGAUGUCGCCGGGAAACUUUUCAACCGGAGAGGUCAACAGAAACCGUCAGAUGCAUAUGCUUCAGAAGGUGAGUACAGUGGUGGCGUUUCAUCGCCGGUGACCAAAACCAGCAGCCCGGUCAAGUAUGACGGAACUCAAUCCGAUGAGUACGUUUUUUACCCGGAUGGACGGGAGAAGAUUAGCGACAUUCUGUGCAAGCUCCGUAAAUUCGCUAUUGUCUCUGCCGUUGACGAAUCUCUCAAAACUGUAGCCGGUGGGAGUAAAAGCAUUAAGGAAGGAUCGAAGGAUAAAUCGCCUUCACGUCCUAGACUUGACAAACAAGAUUUUACUGUUAUGAUGGAGGAGAUGCAAGCAAAGAUGGAGAAACUUCAGGAUGACAUGAACAACAUGAAGCAGCAAAAUGAGGUGUCAGCUAAGUGUACCAACGGGUUAGAUUCCUUCGAGUUCUCAGACGAGCCUAUCAAGAGUUCAAUGCCUACAAAAUCUAAACCAAAAAAGGUUUUAAUUCGUUCUCGAAUGUAGAAAACAGUAAAAUCAUGGCAAUGAGGAAGCUGCACUUUCAUCUUUCUUGACAAUAUAGGUUGUGCUUCUGUAAUUUUCUUGUGGUUUGUGUUAUAACUGUAUAAUACAUGUAUUUAUAUGAUCAUAUAGAAGUAUUAAACUGG
rnacentral:misc_RNA from 1 species